GGGCCCGCACAAGCGGUGGAGCAUGUGGUUUAAUUCGAUGAUACGCGAGGAACCUUACCAGGGCUUAAAUGUAGUAUGACCGGCUUGGAAACAGGCCUUCUCUUCGGAGCAGAUUACAAGGUGCUGCAUGGUUGUCGUCAGCUCGUGCCGUGAGGUGUUAGGUUAAGUCCUGCAACGAGCGCAACCCCUAUUCUUAGUUGCCAGCGGUUCGGCCGGGGACUCUAAGAAGACUGCCAGCGCAAGCUGAGAGGAAGGUGGGGAUGACGUCAAAUCAUCACGGCCCUUACGUCCUGGGCUACACACGUGCUACAAUGGUAGAGACAGAGGGCAGCCACCUGGUGACAGGGAGCGAAUCCUUAAACUCUAUCUCAGUUCGGAUCGGAGUCUGCAACUCGACUCCGUGAAGCUGGAAUC
rnacentral:rRNA from 1 species